UCGCGGUUGUAACAUUCAUCAAUUAGAUACACUUACUACAGUGUAUAAUCUAUGCUUACUACACUUAUGGCUGCGCAUACGCAAUGAAGUAGGAAACCUACGCAUACGUCAUUUACGCGCUAAAAUGACGUCUGUGGUCUGGUUGUCGUGGUAACAGUUUGAGUUCAGUUUUGUACUUUUUAAGGCAUAUCAUGACACCGUGACGGCGAGUGGUCACCAUUGGUCAUGGAAGUCAGAAAACCAGGACACAGCCAAGCUUAAAACUGCUGUCUGCCGUGAAGUACUCUCUUCAAUUCUUGUUAAUAUUAGAUUAAACUGUGAUUCAUCUUAGAUAUAUUACGAUGAAUCAGGCAUCGUAUUAAAAUGACAUGCAUCGAUGGAGCGGAAAUGAUACAUACAAAUUUGAGUUUACUUUUACGCGAUCGAGAACGUUAAAAAACUCGCACUAAGCACACAGAACAAGGAUACCUAUUUUUACUUACAUCAGCAUGCGGCACGGGAGGCCAGUAACUGCGUUACGCGAGUUACAAUCCACGUAUGAAGUACAGUUGCGUACGAAAUCUGUAAACUAAAUUAUUUUAUUUGAGAAAAAAAGGCUUCGAAAAAUAAUCUUUUACACAUUAAAACAAUUUAGACACCUAUGAAAAAAAAUAUAAAAAAGGUUUUGGUUUGGGC